rnacentral:rRNA from 1 species
CUUGAACGCUGGCGGCAUGCCUUACACAUGCAAGUCGAACGGCAGCACGGGGGCAACCCUGGUGGCGAGUGGCGAACGGGUGAGUAAUGCAUCGGAACGUACCCGGAAGUGGGGGAUAACGUAGCGAAAGUUACGCUAAUACCGCAUAUUCUGUGAGCAGGAAAGCAGGGGAUCGCAAGACCUUGCGCUUUCGGAGCGGCCGAUGUCGGAUUAGCUAGUUGGUGGGGUAAAGGCCUACCAAGGCGACGAUCCGUAGCGGGUCUGAGAGGAUGAUCCGCCACACUGGGACUGAGACACGGCCCAGACUCCUACGGGAGGCAGCAGUGGGGAAUUUUGGACAAUGGGGGCAACCCUGAUCCAGCCAUGCCGCGUGAGUGAAGAAGGCCUUCGGGUUGUAAAGCUCUUUCGGCCGGGAAGAAAUCGCACGGGAUAAUACCCCGUGUGGAUGACGGUACCGGAAUAAGAAGCACCGGCUAACUACGUGCCAGCAGCCGCGGUAACAC